GCUGACGGUACCCUGAUAAGAAGCACCGGCUAACUUCGUGCCAGCAGCCGCGGUAAUACGUAGGGUGCAAGCGUUAAUCGGAAUUACUGGGCGUAAAGCGUGCGCAGGCGGUUCUUUUAAGUCAGAUGUGAAAUCCCCGAGCUCAACUUGGGAACUGCGUUUGAAACUGCCAGACUAGAAUGUGUCUGAGGGGUGUAGAAUUCCUCGUGUAGAGUGAAAUGCGUAGAGAUUUGGAGGAAUAUCAAUGGUGAAGGCAGCCCCCUGGAUUAUAUUGACGCUGAUGCACGAAAGCGUGGGGAGCAAACAGGAUUAAUACCCUGGUAGUCCACGCCCUAAACGAUGUCUACUAGUUGUUGGUGG
rnacentral:rRNA from 1 species